AAAGUUGUACGUAUGCGCACGCAUUCUGUACUCCAGAAUUUUGGGGUUUUGGAAUUUUCUGUAGUGAAAGAGAUCUCUCUCUCUCUCUACCUGUAGUAGUAUUCCAUUUUUUCUGUCUAUUUGAAUAUGGGGAAUAACGGGGAUGCUCCGGUGGAGCCGAUGAAGCUGACUUCAUUCAGGAGCCGGAGGAAAGCACCAGCCAUUUCCGGUGAACCUGAUGACUUUAUCAACCUCUUGCAUGGCUCUGAUCCCAUCCGAAUUGAGCUCACUCGUCUUGAGAAUCAACUCCGAGAUAACGAUAGAGAACUGGGGGAGGCAUAUGGAGAAAUCAAAUCUUUGAAGUACUCAGAACGCGUUAAAGAAAAGGCAGUUGAGGAGCUAAAUGAUGAGCUAAAGAAAGUAGAUGAAAAGCUGAAAAAAACAGAAGCUCUUCUUGAAAACAAGAAUCUUGAGAUUAAGAAAAUAAAUGAUGAGAAAAAGUCAGUGCUGGCUGCACAAUUUGCUGCUGAAGCUACUCUUCGGAGAGUUCAUGCCGCACAGAAAGAUGAUGAGAUGCCGCCCAUUGAGGCAAUCAUCACACCCCUCGAAGCAGAGUUAAAACUUUCCAGAUUAGAGAUGGCAAAGUUGCAGGAUGACAAUAAAGCACUAGACAGACUUACAAAAUCUAAAGAAGCCGCUCUACUGGAGGCAGAACGAACUGUUCAAAUGGCAUUGGCAAAGGCUGCUUUGGUUGAUGACCUGCAAAAUAAAAAUCAAGAUCUAAUGAAACAGAUAGAAAUAUGCCAGGAAGAAAACAAAAUAUUGGACAAAAUGCAUAGACUGAAGGUUGCAGAGGUUGAGAAACUAACACAAACUGUAUGGGAGCUUGAGGAAGCUGUAUUGGCUGGUGGAGCUGCAGCAAAUGCUGUACGAGAAUACCAGAGAAAAGUGCAAGAACUGAAUGAGGAGAAAAGAAUCCUAGAUCGUGAGCUAGCCCGUGCAAAGAUUUCUGCAAACAGAGUAGCUGUUGUUGUUGCCAAUGACUGGAAAGAUGCCACUGACAAAGUAAUGCCUGUAAAACAAUGGCUUGAAGAAAGAAAAUAUUACCAGGGAGAAAUGCAACAGCUUAAAGAUAAACUGGCAAUUGCAGAGCGUGCUGCAAAAGCAGAAGCACAGUUAAAGGAAAAGUAUCAAUUACGAUUUAAAGUUUUGGAAGAAAGGUUUAAGGUGCCUUCAAAUGUUACAUCUCGCACUGCAGCUGAAGGAAGAAGCAUAAGCAAUGUGCGCUCAAGGCGUAUGUCCCUUGGAGGAGUUGAAAACUUGUCUAGACCCUCCAAUGGUUCUUUAUUACGAAAAGCAAGUUUUCAAUCUGGAUCAUCCCAGUCAAAUGAUGCUAGCUCAUUGUUAAAAAAAGCAAAGAACUUAUCGGGCGCAUUUGAUGGCGGCAGCAGAUCAGAGGGUAAGGAGAAGCCAGUCCAGCUUACGGAUCAGAAAGAUAAUGGACAUAGUGGUACUAGCAGAGAGUCCCAUAGCAAUGGAACAGUAACUGCACAUGAGAAUGCAGAUUUGAAUGCUGCUGAGAAAAUGAAGUUGGAAAAUAAAGAUUAUGUUUCUGGAGCAGUGUACGAUAUGCUUCAAAAAGAGGUUAUAGUUCUACGCAAAGCUUGCAAUGAGAAAGAUCAUAGCCUGAAGGACAAAGAUGAUGCCAUUGAGAUGUUGGCAAAGAAGGUUGAAACGUUAAACAAGGCAAUGGCAAUUGAGGCCAAAAGAAUGCGCAGGGAAGUUGCAGCAAUGGAAAAGGAGGUUGCUACAAUCCGUAAUGGCAAGGAGCAUGAUCAAAGGCUAAAGUGCAGUUACUCUGCCAAGGGAGCCAUGAAUGGUCAUACACUACCACAAAGGUGAUGCUCUCAAAACCCCCCUCCACUAAUCAAAUUGCUGAAUACAGAAUGCUCAAUAAGGACAACAUUUGCUUACAUGUGUUAAUAUAUCAGCGUGCGCAAAGGGAAGAAACGAUCGGAGCUACAAAAAAUUUACCGAACAAUGAUGAAAGCGGGCAGCAUUUCAUAUCAGAAGGAAUAUUUCUCCCCUCGAAUACUAUCACAACUCAUGUCAGUUUGUAAAGUACUAUAGUUGUUUGGGGGCAUUAGCUUAUUUUAUGUAUAUGUUUGUAACAGAUUUGUAUUAUUAUGAGUAAAAGAAAUGCAUCGGUAUGGAACUAUGGCCAAAGGCAGG